UACGUAGGGGGCGAGCGUUGUCCGGAAUGAUUGGGCGUAAAGGGCGCGUAGGCGGCUUUGUAAGUCUGGAGUGGAAGUCCUCUUUUCAAGGGAGGAAUUGCUUUGGAAACUGCGGAGCUUGAGUGCAGGAGAGGUUAUCGGAAUUCCCGGUGUAGCGGUGAAAUGCGUAGAGAUCGGGAGGAACACCAGUGGCGAAGGCGGGUAACUGGACUGCAACUGACGCUGAGGCGCGAAGGUGUGGGUAUCAAACAGG
rnacentral:rRNA from 1 species